UACGACUACAUAUCAGGCAUAUCAAUAAGCGGAGGAAAAGAAACUAACUAGGAUUCCCUCAGUAACGGCGAGUGAAGCGGGAAGAGCUCAAAUUUGAAAUCUUCAAGGUUUUACCUUGACGAAUUGUAGUUUAAAGAAGUGUUUUCUGUUGGAGUUUUGGUAAAAGUUCUUUGGAAUAGGACAUCAUAGAGGGUGAGAAUCCCGUAUUUGACCAUUAUUUCCAGCUUUGUGAUACACUUUCAAAGAGUCGGAUUGUUUGGGAAUGCAGUCCAGAAUGGGUGGUAAAUUUCAUCUAAAGCUAAAUAUUGGCGAGAGACCGAUAGCGAACAAGUACCGUGAGGGAAAGAUGAAAAGAACUUUGAAAAGAGAGUUAAACAGUACGUGAAAUUGUCAAAAGGGAAGCGUUUGACACCAGUGUUGUUUCUACGAAAAUCAAUUUAUGAUGGCUUGAUGCUAAGCUUUAAGACUUUAUCCGCUUGUUGUUUAGUUUUCUUGUCUUUGUGAAUGCACUUUUCGUGGAACAAGUCAACAUCAAUUUCUUUUGCUGUAAAAGGGUAAGAGGAAGGUGGCUUCGGCUUCGGUUGAAGUGUUUAUAGCCUUUUAUCUCUGCAGUCGGAGAGAUUGAGGUCUGCAGCGUAGACUCUUCGGGGUUAGAUACGUCGGUGCUAAGCUAUAGCUUUUCAUAGACAACUUGUUGACUAUGUUUAGUCAUGUGGCUUACCCGCUGGCGCUAUUUUACCUACGCUUAGGAUGUUGACUGAUAUGUAGUCGUA
rnacentral:rRNA from 1 species